rnacentral:rRNA from 1 species
GCGGCAAAAGCCCAAGAUUGAAAGCUGGCGUCUUCGGCGUCCGCAUUGUAAUCUCAAGAAGUGUUUUCCGUUUCGGACCAUGCCUAAGUCCCUUGGAAAAGGGCAUCAUAGAGGGUGAUAAUCCCGUACAUGGCAUGGAGCGCCCGAAGCUUUGUGAUACGCUUUCUAAGAGUCGAGUUGUUUGGGAAUGCAGCUCAAAAUGGGUGGUAAAUGCCAUCUAAGGCUAAAUAUUGGGGAGAGACCGAUAGCGAACAAGUACAGUGAUGGAAAGAUGAAAAGAACUUUGAAAAGAGAGUUAAACAGUACGUGAAAUUGCCAAAAGGGAAGGGUAGGAGGUCAGAGAUGCGGCCUGGGAUUCAGCCUUGCUUUUGCUUGGUGUUUUUCCCAGAUUGCAGGCCAACGUCGGUUUUGGGCACUGGAGAAGGGUAGGAGGAACGUGGCACCUCUCGGGGUGUGUUAUAGCCUCCUACUGGAUACAGCGACCGAGACCGAGGACAGCAGCGUACUCGCAAGAGCGGGCCUUCGGGCACCUUUACGCUUAGGGCGUUGGCAUAAUGGCCCUCUACCACCCGUCUUGA